GACAGAGGGUGCAAACGUUGUUCGGAAUUACGUGGCGUAAGCGCGUGUAGGCUGCUUCGACCAAGUCGGAUGUGAAAAGCCCUGGGACUCAACCCCAUGGAAGUGCAUUCGAAAACUGCAGAGCUGGAGUCCUGGAGAGGAAGGCGGAAUUCUCGGUGUAGUAGGUGAAAUUCGUAGAUAUCGAGAGGAACACCGGUGGC
rnacentral:rRNA from 1 species